rnacentral:misc_RNA from 1 species
GAUGAAGAACGCAGCGAAAUGCGAUACUUGGUGUGAAUUGCAGAAUCCCGUGAACCAUCGGGUCUUUGAACGCAAGUUGCGCCUCAAGCCAUUAGGUUGAGGGCACGUCUGCCUGGGCGUCACAUAUCGUUGCCUGAUGCCAGUUUCCUCGUGAUGGGUGACUGUGCAGGGCGAAUGAUGGCUUCCCGUGAGCAUUGUUGCCUCAUGGUUGGUUGAAAAUUGAGUCCUUGGUAGGGAGCGCCGUGAUAGAUGGUGGUUGAGUGACGAACGAGACCCAAUCAUGUGAGACCCCUACCGAAUUUGGCCUUCAUGACCCACAUGCGUCUUUGGAACGCUCAUGACGAGACCUCAGGUCAGGCGGGGCUACCCGCUGAGUUUAAGCAUAUCAAUAAGCGGGGA